CAUGCAAGUCGAGCGGGUUUGGUCGCAAGACCAAAGCAAGCGGCGAACGGGUGAGUAACACGUGGGCAACCUGCCCUAAAGUUCGGGACAACGGACCGAAAGGUCCGCUAAUACCGGAUAAUGUCUUAGAGUCGCAUGACUUUAGGAAGAAAGCCGAAAGGCGCUUAUGGAUGGGCUCGCGUCCCAUCAGCUAGUUGGUAAGGUAACGGCUUACCAAGGCGACGACGGGUAGCCGGUCUGAGAGGAUGGUCGGCCACACUGGGACUGAGAUACGGCCCAGACUCCUACGGGAGGCAGCAGUUGGGAAUAUUGGGCAAUGGGCGAAAGCCUGACCCAGCGACGCCGCGUGAGGGAAGAAGGCCUUCGGGUCGUAAACCUCUGUCAUCGGGGACGAAGAAAGUGACGGUACCCGAGGAGGAAGCCCCUGCUAACUACGUGCCAGCCGCCGC
rnacentral:rRNA from 1 species